CUGUCCCUAGUACGAGAGGACCGGGACGGACGAACCUCUGGUGUGCCAGUUGUCCCGCCAGGGGCACGGCUGGUUGGCUACGUUCGGAAGGGAUAACCGCUGAAAGCAUCUAAGCGGGAAGCCUGUUCCAAGAUGAGGUUUCCCACCACCUAGAGUGGUUAAGGCCCCCUACAGACCAUGGGGUUGAUAGGCCGGAACUGGAAGCACAGUAAUGUGUGGAGGUGACCGGUACUAAUAGGCCGAGGGCUUACUGA
rnacentral:rRNA from 1 species